GACGAACGCUGGCGGCGUGCUUAACACAUGCAAGUCGAGCGGAGCGGCGAACGGGUGAGUAACGCGUGAGUAACUGCCCCCCUCUCUGGGGUAACAGUUGGACACGGCUGCUAAUACCGGAUAGUGGGGGAUGACUCGCGUCCUAUCAGCUUGUUGGUGGGGUAGUGGCCUACGAAGGCGACGACGGGUAGCCGGCCUGAGCGGGCGACCGGCCACAUUGGGAUGGGAUACGGCCCGAACUCCUACGGGGGGCAGCAGUGGGGAAUGUUGCACAAUGGGGGCAGCCGUGAUGCAGCAACGCCGCGGGCGGGAUGACGGCCUUCGGGUUGUAAACCGCUUUCAGCCAUGACGCGGUAGUGGCAGAAGAAGCACUGGGUAACUACGUGCCAGCAGCGGCGGUAUAC
rnacentral:rRNA from 1 species